ensembl:lncRNA
UCACCAUGGCCAGGCUGGUAUUGAACUCCUGACCUCAGGUGAUCUGCCUGCCUCGGCCCCCCAGAGUGCUGGGAUUACAGGUGUGAGCCACCGCGCCCGGCCAGAAGGAAGACUUCCCUGACUGGGAAUUGAACCCAGAUUGCGACGGUGAACGCCGAAUCCUAACCACUGGACCACCAGGGAGUGUCCUAAAAACUUUUAAAAAAUGGAUUACGGUUCCACUGAAACUCACUAAUUACUCAUAAAUACUUUUGAAAAGCAUUUUCUAAAGAACUUUGUUGCAGUCUGGGGUGUGGAUGGAACUUUGUUGCAGAGGUAGUCCUUUAAAUCAGGAUUAAGUCCAGCACUUUGGGAAACCGAGGUGGGAGGACCACUUGAGCCCAGGAGUUUAAGACUGGCCUGGACAACAUAGCGAGACCCCGUCUCCACAAAAAAAAUUAAAAAUCAAUUAAAAAUUAGCUCUGCGUUGUAGCAUGCACCUAUAGUCCCAGCUAUUUAGUAGGCCGAGGCAGGAGAUUGCUUGAGCUCUGGAGUCCGAGGCUGCAGUGAGCUGUGAUCACACCACUGCACUUCAGCCUGGGUGACACGGUAGACCCUGUCUCAAAAAAACAAAAGACAAAACCGAAAUCAGGCUUAAGUGAGAGCAUAGAGGUUUAAAUUGGAGGUGUAGACCUCAAAAAGAGAAUGAAAGAGCAAACCACAGACUAGGAAAAGAUAUUUGCAGCUCAUGAACAGCAGACUAAAAACUUCCUAUACGUAAGAAGAGGGCAGACAAUCCUAUGAGAAAAUACUCAAAAGACUUGAUCAGGCCCUUCACUAAAGAGGAAAUAGCCAAAAUAACAUGAAAAGGCAUCUAACCUCACUAGCAACCAGGAAGUGUAAGUUAAAACCACAAUGAGAUACGACUAUUCGCCCACCAUAUCGAUAAAAAUAGUCCAAUGAUGCCAAGAGUUAUCAGGGGAUGUGGAGUAAAAAGAACAUCAUUACUACCAGGGCAGUGUAAAUGGGGUCCAAUCAUUUUGGAAAACAGUUUGGCAUAUUCAAGAUCAAGACACACGUUCCUUGUAGCUCAGCAAUGUUAUUCCUAGGUUUAAAAACACAACCAAACCAGAAACACGUGUUUACAUGUGCUGAGAUACACGGACAAAAAUAUUCAAAUGUCAUUGCGUGUAAUAACCCCAAGCUGGAAGUGAUCCCGCUGUCCAUCAAUAUUAGAAUGAGUAAACAACAAUGUCAUCAUUCAAUAAAAGAGUGUGCAACAAUGGAAAUCAACUAAAGAUGAACUCAACGUGGAUGAAUCUUCAUGAUACAACGUUGAAAGAAGGAGCAAGAUACAGAAAACACAGUGUGAUUCUAUUGUAUGAAGUUCACAGCAGCCUGAUAAAACUGUGUUGUUGGGUAGCAAAACUAUAGCAAAAGGAAGUUAAUACCAUACAAGUCUAGAUGUGGUUAGCACUAGUAGGCAAGGAAGGCUGUGAUCUAGAAAGGGCAGCCCAGGGCUUCAGGAAUGGGUUACGUUCCAGUUCUUGAUCCUGGUAGAGUUAUUUGGAUGUUCGUUUAUGACAAUUUGUUAAACUUUGCAUUUAUGCAUUUUUCUAUAUAGGUCACAAUGUAAAAAAGUUCUAUAUUGCUUUAAAAAGAGGCUUUAAAUAAAUUAGCAUAAUUUAUUAGAUAAGACUUUACUGGCCGAGCGCAGUGGCUCUCGCCUGUAAUCCCAGCACUUUGGGAGGCCGAGGCGGGCGGAUCACCUGAGGUCGGGAGUUCAAGACCAGCCUGACCAACAUGGAGAAACCCCGUCUCUACUAAAAAUACAAAAUUAGCUGGGCAUGGUGGUGCAUGCCUGUAAUCCCAGCUACUAGGAAGGCUGAAGCAGGAGAAUCGCUUGAACCCGGGAGGAGGAGGUUGCAGUGAAUGGAGGUUGCGGUAAGCCGAGAUUGCGCCAUUGCACUCCAGCCUGGGCAACAAGGGCAAAACUCUGUCUCCAAAAAAAAAAAGGAAAAGGAAAAAAAAAACUUUACUAAUGCUGUUCCUGCACAUAUAUUUUUAACAACCUACAAAUAGACACAUUCUGGUCUUACAUGGUGUUUUGGGUUAAAAUUUUGCUCUCAAAAAGCUCCUUCUAUUAUAUCCCUCUUAUUAAGUCUUAUUAAGCCUGUUAUGUCUCGUUCUAUCCUUCACGAAGACAAAAAACAGGUUGCCUUCCAUCUAUACACUUUUUCAAAUAAAUAUCAAUGGCUUUUGUCUAGUGGGUGCUGACUCUGUGCCAGGUACUUGCUGAGUACCUUAUAGAAAUAAUACCUUGUUGAACAAAUGAAUGAAUGAAAUUCAUUAUUGAAAUUUUUCAUGUAAUCCAUACUGGUGCUGUAAUACUCCAUUUGUUAAACCCCCUUCAAACUCCCUCUUUGUUCUCUCUGC